rnacentral:misc_RNA from 1 species
GGAAGAAGGGGGAAGAAGAGAAUUAGGCCUCUAGAUUCAAGUUAAAGCUCUGUCUUCAUUGUCGACAAGCAGAGUGAAAGUGUCAAGUCAACACUCAGCUGUGUUGCAGAGGAGAGAAAAUGGAAGGAAGCUCAAAGAGGAUUAACGCUAAUGGAAGCAAGAACGAGAAGGAUCUUUUUCACGUCAUUCAUAAAGUUCCUAGUGGCGAUGGUCCUUAUGUUAGAGCCAAGCAUGCUCAGCUGGUUGAAAAGGAUCUAGAAACGGCAAUAUUGUGGUUUUGGAAGGCAAUAAAUGCAGGAGAUAAAGUAGAUAGUGCACUAAAGGACAUGGCAGUGGUGAUGAAACAAGUAGCCAGAACUGAAGAAGCCAUAGAAGCUAUCAGGUCUUUCAGACGCCGUUGCUCCAAACAAGCUCAAGAAUCUCUCGAUAAUGUCCUCAUUGACUUGUACAAGAAAUGUGGCAUGGUAGAGGAGCAAAUAGAUUUGCUAAAGAGGAAGCUAAGAUUGAUUUACCAAGGAGAGGCAUUCAAUGGAAAACCCACAAAAACUGCUCGCUCUCAUGGCAAGAAAUUUCAGGUUUCUGUCAAGCAAGAAAUCUCCAGAUUACUGGUAACUUUCCUUGGAUUCUUACUUUAGUUUUAAGUCUCUUAAUUCUGAUAUAAAUACUAGGAAUAACUUAACUAUAUCGAUGGACGUCAGAUACAAAUACUUGGAUAUUUAUAUGUGACUUCUAUUAUAUAUGUAUUGGUCAGCUGAUAGUUGAUGGCAAUUAGCUUGAUGAAACCUACAGGGAAACCUGGGCUGGGCCUAUAUGCAGAAAUCAAACUUCAUGGCAGCAGAGGUUGUGUAUCAGAAAGCCCAAAUGAUCGACCCAGACGCAAACAAGGCUUGCAACUUGAGCCUUUGUCUGAUAAAGCAAGCCCGAUUUGACGAGGCUUGUAUGGUUCUCCAAAAUGUCCUGGAAGGUAAACUUCCGGGUUCAGAGGAUUGUAAAUCCAGGAAAAGAGCUGAAGAAUUGCUAAUGGAAGUGGAAUCUAGACAACCCCCACCUGAACUAAAAGAUAUAUUGGGCUUUGAUCUUGAAGAUGAUGAUUUUGUGAAGGGGCUUCAGCAAAUGAUGAAUGAAUGGGCUCCAUCAAGAUCAAAAAGGCUGCCCAUCUUUGAAGAGAUAUCUUCAUUUAGAGAUCAGAUAGCAUGUUAAUUAAA